AUUUUUUUUGGGACAUGUGAAAAGUUAUAUGAAUCGUAUAUGUAAAGUUAAACACAACCCGUGAAGGGCCCUGGAGCCAAAUCAAAGUGGAAGCCCUCCAAACGAAUAUUUUUAAGAAAACGUUUUCGGAUGACCUGACUUGGAGGGGCAAAAACGGCAUUAUAAGUUUAGAAUUUGGGAAAAUGCCCAGAGAUAAAAGUUGUAGAUAAUUGAAAUAGCUUUCCAACGGUAGGUCGUGGGCUCCCAGGCGACGUCGGUACAAGGAGAUAUGGACAUUUUAAGGCGGAAAGGUCAAGCUGGGCAGUGAAAUGGGCCCAACCCGAUUCCAAUCCGGGUCAGGCCCAUUUCCUUAUUAUUUAAGGGAGUUUUCAGCCUCCUCCUCCACAUUUCAGAUCAGAAAAGAUCCAAAAAAUUCCAUUAGAGAGAGAGAGAGAAAACUUCAAGGCUAAGAAGAUCAUUUUGAUCAAAAUCCGAGCUCCGAAUCCCGAAGCUCAUGAAGAGAAAAACGUUGUACGUUGCGUUGCCUUCAAUUUGAGAUAAAUAUUAGUCUUGGGGGAUGAAAUUUUCGUGGUGGAUCUUCUGAUAAGAUUUUGGACGAGAUUGGGAUCGACGCCAAGCGAGCGUAAGGCGCUAUCGAGGUACAGGCGCACUCGGUGACACGCCGCCAGUCUAGGGCACAGGUUCUGCUAUCUUGAAGAGCUCCUUUUGAUUCGGAGCAUGUACUUUGGUAUAUAUAUCUUUUGUUUUCCGUAUGUUCUGUAUGUAUGGAAGUUCUGGGUACGGCGGGGCCCUGUCCCGUCAUAUGAUUCUGUAUGUCUGUAGAGGCCUGUAGAUAGAUGUGUGGGUUACGGGUUUCGUCUGUAUGUUAGCCUUAUCGGCUUAUCUGUAAAUGUCUGCAUGUUCAGGUAUAUAUAUAUGUUUGCGCGCGUGCCGUAUCUGUAUCGGCCUACUUCUGUAAUAUCCGUUUGAAAAAAAAAAAUCUGUACGAUACGAAAUUCGGUCAGGUAGGUAUGUACGGGUACCCAGCUAGGGUGCCAGUCGCGGCCCACGGGGUUGGGUCGUGACAGAAGUGGUAUCAGAGCGGUUAGUCCUCGGAAUGUCUACAGGCCGUGUCUAGUAGAGUCUUGUUUAUCGAUGUGUUGUGCACCAUAUCUAUAAACAGGAAGCUACAGGGCAUCUAGGAUGUUACCCUUCUUUGAAUCUUAGAUCAUGCGAUAGAGCCAGCUGUAGGAUAUGAAUUCCUUUCGACUAACUUUUAAUUUCAGCCAAAGGACGGCAUCGACAGAAGGCAAUGGCUGAUGAUAUUGGAGGCCGCACAGUACUCAGGUAAGCAAUAAUAUGAAAGCUGUGUGUCGGAGAAGUUGUUUGAUGUGUGGUAGAAAUAUAAAGCUGAAGAUUGAACAGAAAAGUGAACAGGAAGGAGCCUCCGAUGUUGUUCGAGUUGGGCAUGUGAGGUAAGCCUCGACAUCUGUAUAAUUUUAUCUGUAAUUGUUAGCCCCGUGUGGCUACGAGACGACAUGAUAUGAUGUAUAUAUAUAUGCGUAUAUGUGUUGGCCCUGUGAGGCAUGGUUGGUAUUUCUUGUGUACAGGUUUCGGAUAGUAAGAAAUACAGAGAAACCUCUGCCCAAAUUUUUUUCCAGAGAUAUGGAAGUAAAUAUAUAUAAAGUAAGUACAAACAGGUUCCGCGAUACUUGUCGGAAUUUAGUUUUCUUCUG